CAGGAACGUACAUUCCUUUGGCGCCAUGGUCGACCUCCUCUUGGGCGGCUUCUCGGUCCGAAUAACAAUCAUUUGCUUCAGUAGAUAAAAAAGUUCGAUUUCUUCAACAGACGACACCUCCGGCGAUAAAAUACUGCUGUGCUUGGUCCAAAGUAAACUAUCGAUAUCUGAAGAGAAAAAGCAAAAGAAAUCAAGAGUUAUUCAAAAGAACGAAAACAAAACGGAGAUUAGGGAAUUAAUUGUGCUUUUUUUUUUUCAAAAUAAGGUAUAGGAAACAAAACAAAAUAGCCCCAAGCUCCCCCCAUAAGAAUGCAGAAAAUAUGGGCAUCACAUCAGCCCGAAGCAGACGAAAACCGAUUCGACCUGGAACCAAAUUUUUCUUCAUCAAUCAGCUUGCCGUCAUAAGUUUCCAAGAUGGAUUAUUCUAUUUGCCAGGAGCUGGCAAAACCGAACUCUAUAUACCUGGUCGGAUGGACAGUCUGGAAUUCAUGGCCGCCGAAUCCUCACCGCUGUCCCCUGAGUUGAGGAACAGGAACAAACGGAAGGAGACUACACAUUAUCAACGGGCAAGUCUUGGUCGCUACACAACAUACACACAAUCUAGUAAUCAUUUGACCUUCAUAAAACAACAAACUUUCAUGGGUUGCCAGCAGUUUUGCCUGUCUCCAAAUUCUUGUGUGACAAAAGAUGUGAGUCUUGAUUUCAAAGUUGUGGGCCCCCUUUUUUCUUUUCGACCCAACUCUCAAUGGUCAGUUCAUUAUCUGUCUUCUCAAGUCAUUCAUGACGAGCUGUUUGCAACUUGGUAGCAGGUCAUUCAACCGUAGUAGGCCCACAACUUGGAUUGUCUUUCAAGAUUCAGCAUUGCAAAAAAAAACAACAACAACAAGAUUUCGUGAAUUGGCAAUUACAUUGGUGAUGGAUCACCGAUUAUUCUUAGGGAAAAGCCCACAUUGUGCAACUGGUCAUCUAAUAUAUCUAGUAGCACCCAUCCCUUAAAACCUGUUUCCACAACAUAGUGGUAAUAGUAGCAGACUUAGUUUGUGUGUAUAGACAUGUGUAACCUGUAAUCUUAAACGACCCCAGGUGGUUUGUAACGACCUGUUGUUCGUUCGAUUGUUGGUCUGCGCGCCAGUAAUGGCACUCAUUCAGUAAAAAUGUUUUAUGAACUACUUACUAUUGAUACCGAUGCCGAGGCAGACGGACCACUCUGACCGGGAAAUCUUACGAUCCUGAUCCGUAUCGCAAAGUCGGGGAAAGUUCUUGGUGCAGCGCUUGGGUUUGACCACCUUACGGACGAGUCGUCGUAGAACUCUGAAUUCGCGUCGAAUCAGCUGGCCAUCGUUGUUUUUGUCCAGUUGGUCGAAUUUCCACUCCAUCACUCGUCGUUCAGCAGUCUCGGUCACGCCAUCCGUUUGCGCUGUAGUACCUGGAAUCGGCAACAAAACAAGAACCGUUGAAAUGAGUUUGAUUCCCACCGUGGCUGCAAAGAAUAGGAAACGCCCUGGACAAGAUAGGACCAUUAACUUACUGGGAAUUGGAGUGGUUGGCAAGCGGUUGAACUCGGUCGUAAAGAGUCGGAUCAGGUGACCGUUGAAAGCCGCUUUAUCGCCAGGUGUACAACCUAAUGGAACAUUUUCUUAUUAUUACUUGCUCUCGAUUCUUGCCUUUUUAGUUUGGGAAGGUUUUACCUUUACGGGGUUUCUUGCCUUGUGGUGACCUGCGACUGGGGCUGGAUUUGCCUAUAAAUUGAUUUUGUGGGUUAGUCGAACUGAUUCCAGCAACAAAGAAGUAAGGAAUGGGAUUUACUUUGACGUUUGCAGUUGGGUUUGUUGUGUCGGAUGGACGAUCCCGGAAUGGGUUUGCCGUCGGGCGUGACGCACCAACAAUAGCCCGUCCCUUGAUGGCACUAUUGUGUAUACGAUAAGAGUCAAGUUAUUUUUGCAUUUCUUUUCUUCGUUUCGCAGGCUUUCUAUUUUGAUUCGAUUUCUGGCUUGACUUACCUGAAUUUCCGCGAAUCGUCCGUCCUCGUUGCAUUCAGGAAUGAAAGUCUCGCCAGUAGGCGCCGAUUUUUUGCCCAGUCCACCAGCACUGCCGACGCCGCCCGCUUGGUCUUAUCCUGUUUAACUUCGUUUCCCCAUCGUCAAGAAUAAGAAAAAGGCCCGGCAGGUUGAAUAGGAGCCGAAAAAAAAGAAAAAAAAAACACCGAAGGAAGAACACCUGGGUUUCCCCUCCUCCGCUGGAAUGAAGAAGAAGAAGAACUUUUUCUUCUUCACAAGACCGCACCGCCAACAUCCUACUCCACACACACGUCCCCAAGAAAAAGAAAAAAAAGAAGAUGAAUAUCUGGACGAGACAGAACUUGUCCAUUCGCGUCACGUUUUCACAUCCGGAAUACCAUGACGGAAUGGAAUUUCGAAGAAUCUCUUCCAGACUGGAUUGCCUACAGUACCCUCCACCAAUAAUAGCCAAAAG